AGGGCUUGACAUAUAUCGGAUAUAGUUAGAGAUAAUUAUUCCCCGUUUGGGGUCUAUAUACCGGUGCUUCAUGGUUUUCGUCAGCUCGUGCUGUGAGGUGUUGGGUUAAGUCCCGCAACGAGCGCAACCCUUGUUAUCUGUUACCAGCAUGUAAUGAUGGGGACUCAGAUAAGACUGCCGGUGAUAAGUCGGAGGAAGGUGAGGAUGACGUCAAAUCAUCAUGGCCCUUAUGUCCUGGGCUACACACGUGCUACAAUGGCCUGUACAAAGCGAAGCGAAACAGUGAUGUGAAGCAAAACGCACAAAGCAGGUCUCAGUCCGGAUUGAAGUCUGAAACUCGACUGCAUGAAGGCGGAAUCGCUAGUAAACGUAUAUCAGAAGGAUACAGUGAAUACGUUCUAGAGCC
rnacentral:rRNA from 1 species